AGAACGAACGCUGGCGGCAUGCCUAACACAUGCAAGUCGAACGAGACCUUCGGGUCUAGUGGCGCACGGGUGCGUAACGCGUGGGAACCUGCCUUUAGGUUCGGAAUAACUCCUCGAAAGGGGUGCUAAUACCGAAUAAUGUCUUCGGACCAAAGAUUUAUCGCCUUUAGAUGGGCCCGCGUUGGAUUAGCUAGUUGGUGGGGUAAAGGCCUACCAAGGCGACGAUCCAUAGCUGGUCUUAGAGGAUGAUCAGCCACACUGGGACUGAGACACGGCCCAGACUCCUACGGGAGGCAGCAGUGGGGAAUAUUGGACAAUGGGCGAAAGCCUGAUCCAGCAAUGCCGCGUGAGUGAUGAAGGCCUUAGGGUGUAAAGCUCUUUUACCCGGAUGAUAAUGACAGUACGGAGAAUAAGCUCCGGCUAACUCCGUGCCAGCAGCCGC
rnacentral:rRNA from 1 species